rnacentral:lncRNA from 1 species
GCCCAAUUGGCCGGAACCAGGCCAAGGCCUAAGGGCAGAGUCACAGCCCAAGAGACCAGAACCAGUCCAAGGGCCUAAAGCCAGUCACAGCCCAAGAGGCCUGCAGUGGCUCCAACGCCAAAAGCCACAUCCCGGGAAGCCUGCACUGACCACAGGGCCUAAAGACCCAGCCACAGCACAGAAGGCCAGCUCCAGCUUUGGGCCUAAAUCCACAGCCACAACUCAAGAGGCCAGCACCAGCCCAGGGCUGUAAGACCACAGUUACAGCCACAGAGGCUGGCACCAGAACCAGAGCCUAAAGCCACAGCCUGAAAGGCCGGCACCAGCCCUGAGGCAUACAGAUGUGUAUUCCUGUUUGUUCCUACAGGUUCUCCUGGGACUCCAUUGAUCACUAUGAGGCCAUGUUGGUCAUUACUGGUCUUUAUUGGGCUGCACAAGAAUCAUCUUAACUCCUCUGUUAUUUUGCUUCAGAUUAACCUUACUGAGUGACCGUGACAUUGGUUUGGAUCCGGGAGGCACUCUCUGAGCUCACAACCGUUGCCAGGUGGGAGCAUUUGUGCCACAGCUGGUGAGCAGAGCUGGUGCUCUGGUGAGUGUCUGCACGCAGACCGAGCUCUGGGCCCUCCUUGGAGCUGAUCACCCUGUGAGAGCCUGUCUGAAGCAGCGCUGCAGUGUGUGCGAGAGGCAGUUGUAGGGAGAGUGGAUCCAGCUAUUCCCAAGAGUGCGGGAGGUUCUCUCCUGUAGAGAGAGCCCUCAGAACUUGGGCUUCGUCUGAGACUUGAGCAGCCAUGGCUCAGCAAGGGGCCAGCUGCUCUUCCUGUGUCUGCUCUGCAAGAAGGAAGAAGCAGCCAGCAGGCUGCCAGAGAUCCAACUGCACCUUUCAUCGCACAGAGGGACGUGAUGGGGACAGCCUGUUUUCACUGCCAGGCAAAAGUGAGUGUCCUCAGCCCUCUGUCAUGAAGUGUGGAGGGAUUUGACUGUUACUUCUGGGCGGGGGCAGUGCUGCAGGGGAUGUCAAGCAACCAUCCAUUUGGAGCGCAACAAGGAGCAGCAAGAAGUGAGUAAACAGACUGUGUCUGGGCUGUCAAAGUAGCAUCCUUCUGUUCUGGGGGGGGGAAGACAUGGGCUUACUGGACAGUAUUUUUGCUGCUUUCUGGUACCUAUGAAAUCAACACGUGACCUGUUGUUGUAGGGAUGGAGCCUGAGUGUCCGUGGAAUGGAGCGAAGCAAGGGGGGAAACAGAAAGCCUCUGUGGGUAGGAAGCUCUUGUGAGCUGUGGUGUGGGUACCUGCCUCUAAACAGGGCCGCGUGAAGGGAAGGGCAGGAUGUGUGAUGGAGGAGAGAGGAAAGGGCACUACAGAAGUGGCACAACACUGUAGCAGUGGAACGGUAAACUGAAGAAACUGCUCUUGACCAGAAGCUUGUGGUUGGCUGUGC